rnacentral:rRNA from 1 species
AUUGAACGCUGGCGGCAUGCUUUACACAUGCAAGUCGAACGGCAGCGCGGGCUUCGGCCUGGCGGCGAGUGGCGAACGGGUGAGUAAUGCAUCGGAACGUGCCUAGUAGUGGGGGUUAGCCCGGCGAAAGCCGGAUUAAUACCGCAUACGACCUGUGGGUGAAAGCGGGGGACCGAAAGGCCUCGCGCUAUUGGAGCGGCUGAUGUCGGAUUAGCUAGUUGGUGGGGUACAGGCUUACCAAGGCGUCGAUCCGUAGCUGGUCUGAGAGGACGACCAGCCACACUAGGACUAGAACACGGCCCAGACUCCUACGGGAGGCAGCAGUGGGAAAUGUUGGACAAUGGGGGCAACCCUGAUCCAACCAUGCCGCGUGCGGGAAGAAAGCCUUCGGGUUGUAAACCACUUUUGUUCGGUGAGAAAUGCUCUGGGCUAAUACCCCGGGGGUGUGACGGUACCGGAAAAAUAAGCACCGGCUAACUACGUG